UAUUAUAUGUCUACAUAUAUAAACUAUACAUAUAUCCGGGGUGAUUUGUUAUCAAAAAAAAAAGAAAAGGCGAAUGAUCUGGGAAAUCAAACUAGCAACAAGAAAUCGACCUCUCCAUUUAAACGAAUGUGUUCUUUCACGCACUAGCUUGCAAUAAAUUCAAUUUAAUGCAAAGUCAAUCUUUAAAUCGAUUCUUUAUAUUUUCAAGGAAGUCGCUUUCAAUUUUCGUCAUUAAUGUCAAUUACAACAUGCACUAUAACAAUGGUGAAUAUUUUCUGGUUCUUAUUAUUUAAGGACCGUGCUAAAGAAAG